rfam:Schistosoma curassoni strain Dakar, Senegal genome assembly, scaffold: SCTD_contig0006174
GCACUGCUGAGGAGUCCCACAACAGGACGAAACGGCCGUCCGGUGC